AAGUUAUGUAGAAAGCAAACACAAUGCAAAUCGUCGAGAAUGGACCAAAUUGAGAUUGGAUGGAUGUACUUCACACCCAAUAGAGGUUGGACAUGUAACAGUGACACAGGCAGAUGUUAUAGUCUAAACAGCACAAAACUAUCUCAAGCAGAAGCCAUGCAGUCUUGCUAUAGGCGCAACUCCUACCUCGUGGAAAUCAAUGACCUGGAAGAAAACACCUGGAUUACUACAAACAUUCUAAACGCUGCUUGUAAG